UUGGGAUAGCUCAGUUGGUAGAGCAGAGGAC
rnacentral:tRNA from 8 species